GAUCAUGGCUCAGGAUGAACGCUAGCGACAGGCCUAACACAUGCAAGUCGAGGGGCAGCGGGAGGUAGCAAUACCUUUGCCGGCGACCGGCGCACGGGUGAGUAACACGUAUGCAAUCCACCUGUAACAGGGGGAUAACCCGGAGAAAUCCGGACUAAUACCCCAUAAUAUGGGCGCUCCGCAUGGAGAGCCCAUUAAAGAGAAGCAAUUUUGGUUACAGACGAGCAUGCGCUCCAUUA
rnacentral:rRNA from 1 species